CACAAGGCAGCCUUCUCACAUCUGGGGCCCCAUGAUGCUGUGAUUCACUUCCAGCCUGCCUGGGAGCAUACAGGGAACUGACGUGCCCCUGGGGUCAGGGCCAGUGGAGGCACUCUUUUUCAUAGCAACCUGUUGCUCUGCCCACGUGGAUUGGGCUUUUGAACCCCUACCCAGAUGUCCUGAUGUGAGUGAGCAUGUGUUUCUGUGUGCAUGUGCUUUUGUGUAUGUGUGUGUGACUGUGGUAAGAGGGUAGGGCAGAAGAGGAAUAGAAACAUAGAAACAUAUUUCCCUUGAGACUAGCAGUCACCAUUUUUAGUGUGGGAGGGCUCCUGGGGUUAGGAAGUCUACUUUGGGUCUGGAGAAACAAUAAGGGCAGUCUUUUUUUUUUUUUUUUAAAUAUUUUUUAGUUGUUGGACCUUUAUUUUAUUUAUUUAUAUGUGGUGCUGAGAAUCAAACCCAGUGCCUCACCCUUAGGAGGCAAGCACUCUUUCACUGAGCCACAACUCCAGCCCCAUGGGCAGUCUUAUUUGAGGAUUUGACCUGUGGUGGAAGUAUCAUUAGUAGCCUUUUUUUUUUUCUUUUCCCUGCUACUGAAGAUUGAACUCAGAGGCACUUUACUACUGAGCUACAUCCUCAUCCUCCCCACUUUUUUUGUUGACAGAUCUCUAUUUUUUAUUUGUAUGCGGUAUUGAGAAUUGAACCCAAUGCCUCACAUAUUUGAGGCAAGCGCUUUACCACUGAGUCACAACCCCAGCCCACUCAUCCCUUUUUAUUUUUUACUUUAUAACAGGGUCUCACUAAGUUGCUGAGGCUGUGAUCCUUUUGCCUUAUCAGUAGUACAUUUAUACUAAUAUCUAAACCCAACAGAAGUAUAGUUUACAAAAAAACUAAAAAAAAAAAAUGAGGAGCAAUAAGUGCCAUGCAAUUCCAAAAACAGAAGCAAACUUUUCAUAAGGCUUUUAUCUUUUCAGGUCUAAAGGGUUAGAAUCUUCUUGGUCAACAUGUUAACAGUGCCCUCUGGUGUUUGGCAGCAGAACAACAGGCAUAUUAGUACAGGGUAUGAGUACUUCCAUUAGAUUAGCAGUCUUGAAACUGCCUCUGAAUGUAAGAUUCUGGGCCUGGCACCACUAGGGGAAGAAAGGCUAAUAAGACAGAUAGGUCUCUGCCUGUAAGAGGCUUCCCAUCUAACAGGACAGACAGAUCCACAACUGUAGGGCUAUACAGGGGUUUAAGUAGAGGCCAGAGAGCAUGCAGGGUUGAAGAUGUGGCCCUAUGCUGCCUUCAACAGGCUGAGGAUAGAAGUUAGAGUUCUCCAGGCUAAGAAUCCUAGGCCCAGGUCCCAGGAUUUCAGAGUGGCCAGGGCAGAACGCCCAUGGUGGGGCUAUCCUUAGAAAUACAGCUGUGUAGGGCCCUAUUUGAAAAGACCACAGAUGCCAAUCUGAGCAGGGCCAAAAAGCUACCACAUGUUUUAUGGCAAAAAAGCUACUACAUAUUUUAUGGCAAAUGGCAGAAGGGAAAAGGGUGGAUGUAUCAGUGAAGGGGACAUAGGAAGCCAUGCAGACAGAAGGAUUUUAUAGCAAUCCUGUGAGGCGCAAGUGUCUGAGCUGAGCAUGGUAAUAGGAGGGAGAAAGAGGCAAACAUUCAAAAACCAGUCAAAUUGACAAGGAACAAGGUGGAUGAGAAGUGAGGGAAACAGAAGGAAAUUCUUGAGGUUCUGGCAGUGGUUUAUAUUUCAACAAAGGCAAGGUGUUAGAAAAGGGGGAGCAGAUACUUUGGAGAAUUUUUGAUUAACAUUUAUUUCUGGGUUCUAAGUUAUGAAAUGGUAAUUAAUUUGAAAAAAAUAAUUAUAAAAUCAGGUAUGUAAAGAAUACAAGAUGAGCUUGGAACAUCUCAUAGUGCCAGAAAGUCAGGAAGUGCUCAAAAACAAAGCAAACAUACCACUAUGGGAUGUGAAAAGGAUACAGGACCAAUGCAGCCAAUGGCCAAAGCUAGAACAAUUUGAACAACAAAAUAAACAAAGUAGUAUUGGAUGGAAACCCAACAUAUAAUAUAUACCCACUGAGUCCAUACUGAUAUAAGCAAAUGACUGAAUAAGUAAAUGACUGAGAGAAUAAAUCAAUCUCCCAAGCAGAAGAAUUGAAAAUAAUUUAUGUAGCUAAUCCAUCUUCAAAGCAGAGGGUACAUAAAUCCUCACUCCUUAAUUGUGGGCUGCACACACUUUUUCCCAAAGGGUAAAAUAAGGAAAGAGGUACAAAAGAGGAACUACAAAGUGGACAAACACUGCUGUAGCCAGGUGACCAAAGUUAACAUCAACAGUGACAGGUCAUGUUGAUAGUGUGUAACUCUGAUAAGGUGUGAUAAAAAUGGAGCCGUGUGCCGGGUUUCGUUUUCGUGACUAAAAGGCUCAGGGGUCACUCCAGGGAAACUGGGCUGACUGGGCUGCACAAAAUAACCACACAAGAGACACAAAUACCUUUUUCUUUGGGGUCGCUGUGACGGCUCCUCUGACUUUAAGGGUCCGCAGAAAGAGAGAGAGCAAGAGACAGCACACACACACACACACACAAGGGGUCAGGGGGCUGGGUCUAUCUUCAUGAUGUCCACUGUCAGCAGGUUCACUGACACCUGGGUAGACCACACGCAAAGGCACUGAGAAGGGGACACACACAAGGCACUUCCAUGGAACAUUCUAUUCUAAACAGGGCAAGGGGUUAUAUUACAAAGAAACAGAUGAGCGUAGCUCCACCCAUGGGGCUGUAGCAAGACACACCCAUGCAUGAGACACCAGUCCCUGGAACCCAAGAAGGGUGGGGAAAGCUCUGCCACAUUUCUGGGACUGAGCGCCUCAGCACCCAGCCAGGAAGUGUGAUUCAGUCAUGUGCAAGGCUGGUCUCCCACAGCUGUGGUCUCCUCCCCAAGCCCAGAACCCCAGUCUAAUCAGGACAAAAACAUCAGAUGGAUCCCAAUUGAAGAUCACUCCCCAAAAUACUGGAUCAGUACACUUGCAAGAUUGUCAAAAGUCAUCACAAACAAGGAAGUCUGACAAACUGUCACAGCCAAGAGGAACCUACAGUAUUGGAUGACUCAAAGUAUGAUUGGAUAACCCAGACUGGAUCCUGGAACAGAAAAAAAAUGGUAAAAACAAAAUAUCUGAAGUUUUGAUAAUAACUGAGUGUGGGCUUUAAUGAAUAAUUAUGUAUCAAUAUUGGAUCAUUAGUUGUGACAAAUUUACCAUGGUAAUGGAAAACACUAAUAAUAGGGGAAACUAGGUUUGGAAUAUAUGGGGCUUUGCUAAACUAUCUUCAUAAUUUUUCUGUAAAGCUAUUCUAAAAUUAAACGUUUAAGAAAAAUGCCAAUUGUUUGCUGGGCUUGGUGGUGCACACCUGUGAUUCCAGCAACUUGGGAGCUGAGGCAAGAAGAUUGCAAGUUCCAAAGCCAGCUUCAGCAAUUUAGUGAGGCCCAAAGCAACUUAGUGAGACCCUGCCUCAAAAUAAAAAAUAAAAAGGGGACUGGGGUUGUGGUUCAAUGGUAGAAAUGCUCCCCUAGCAUGGGCGAAGCCUUGGGUUCAAUCCUCAGCACCACAUAAAAAUAAAUAAAUAAAAUACAUGUAUUGUGUCCAACUACAACUAAAAUAAAAAUUAUUUAAAAAAAAUAAAAGGGCUGG
rnacentral:lncRNA from 1 species